UCCAUCGGUUCAUGCAUGUACCGGUAUCGGAAAAGUGCUCCACUUGUGUUUAUUCGAUAUUGUACAUCAUGGGCCUGCUACGGAAACACCUCCGCAGAAUUCUGUGCCCGUUUUUUUACAAAAAAAAAGGCUGCCGGUACGGAGACCGUUGUUGGUAUUUCCACCCGAAAGAAGAUAAGCCGGCUCAGUAAACUGUAAUAGCCGAAGCAGGGUCGUAUUUCGGAGCCAUGGCAGCGGCAAUCACCACAACAACAUGCGUGAACACAUCAACAUGAAGCACUCGUAACCACAGAACAAAUGCAGCCACCUCAAUAACCAUACCUAGCACCGCAACAUGAGGAACACACUCCUUGACAGGUUGAAGAGCAGCCACCUCUCCCUGAACCUCUGUUGCUUCCGGCAGUAUUCAACGCCGAGGAUUAACUGCUGGCAAAGAGCCGAUGGCAAUUCCGUCAUUGGUUUGUUAGGUCGUCGUGUGGCUAAUUCCAACUGUUUGUCGUUUUGCUGUCUGUUUGUCGUGACGUUGUCUCUUGUUCAAGAUGUUCUUGUUUUUGUUUCGGUUGGAUUAGACCCGUACAUGUACUUGUGCAUGUGUAUUUAUUUUGUUUCUAUGUUCCAAAAUAUAAAAAAAUGAUUUUGUCGAACUGA